UACAGAGGGGGCAAGCGUUACUCGGAAUUAUUGGGCGUAAAGGGCGCGUAGGCGGCCUGGCAAGUGACGGGUGAAAGCCCUCGGCUCAACCGAGGAACUGCCUGUCAUACUGCCGGGCUUGAGUCCGGGAGAGGUGAGUGGAAUUCCCAGUGUAGCGGUGAAAUGCGUAGAUAUUGGGAGGAACACCAGUGGCGAAGGCGGCUCACUGGACCGGAACUGACGCUGAGGCGCGAAAGCGUGGGGAGCAAACAGG
rnacentral:rRNA from 1 species